UACUAAGCGGAGGAAAAGAAACUAACUAGGAUUCCCUCAGUAGCGGCGAGCGAACAGGGAAGAGCCCAGCACCGAAUCCCGCGGCCGAAACCGGACGCCGGGAAAUGUGGUGUUAGGGAGGGUCCGUCAUCCCGAGAUCGUGCGGCGCGUCCAAGUCCAUCUUGAACGGGGCCAUAACCCAUAGAGGGUGCCAGGCCCGUAGCGACCGCUGCCGAUAACGGGAGGAUCUCUCCUCAGAGUCGGGUUGCUUGAGAGUGCAGCCCUAAGUGGGUGGUAAACUCCAUCUAAGGCUAAAUAUGACCACGAGACCGAUAGCGAACAAGUACCGUGAGGGAAAGUUGAAAAGAACUUUGAAGAGAGAGUUCAAUAGUACGUGAAACCGUUCAGGGGUAAACCUGAGAAACCCGAAAGGUCGAAAGGGGAGAUUCAGCGUGUCUCGAUCGCGGCGCUGGACGGUCGUGCGACGGACGGCGUACGCGUCGUCCGCGCCUUCCGUUCUCCGAACCGCGGUCGAACGCGUGCACUUCUCCCCCUGUAGGACGUCGCGAUCCGUUGAGUGCCGGUCUAAGGCCCGCGGUGGAGCCCGUUCGGACGGUUCGCCGUUCCGGGCGGACCCGUGGUGUUUUCCGGUCGGCUCGCUCGACGGUAUACAGAUGGCGCGGGGCCGCUACACAGUUAGCGUCCGACCUUCGGCAAGCGCGCUCGUCGCGAUGGUGAUCGGACCUGGUGCCGGUCCCGUCCCCGAGUGGCUGUUCGCUGAGGUGUUCUCGGACAGACCUCGUCGAAACGCCGAUCUGCGACGCUAUAGCUUUGGGUACUUUCAGGACCCGUCUUGAAACACGGACCAAGGAGUCUAGCAUGUGCGCGAGUCAUUGGGACAUGACUAAACCUAAAGGCGCAAUGAAAGUGAAGGUCAGCCUUGCGCUGACCGAGGGAGGAUGGGCGGUCGUUACGGCUGCCGCCUCGCACUCCCGGGGCGUCUCGUUCUCAUUGCGAGAAGAGGCGCACCAAGAGCGUACACGCUGGGACCCGAAAGAUGGUGAACUAUGCCUGGUCAGGACGAAGUCAGGGGAAACCCUGAUGGAGGUCCGUAGCGAUUCUGACGUGCAAAUCGAUCGUCGGAACUGGGUAUAGGGGCGAAAGACUAAUCGAACCAUCUAGUAGCUGGUUCCCUCCGAAGUUUCCCUCAGGAUAGCUGGCGCUCGUAGCGCACGAGUUUCAUCCGGUAAAGCGAAUGAUUAGAGGCAUUGGGGUCGAAACGGCCUCAACCUAUUCUCAAACUUUAAAUGGGUGAGAUCUCCGGCUUGCUCGAACUAUUGAAGCCGCGAGACUCGAAUCAGAGUGCCAAGUGGGCCAUUUUUGGUAAGCAGAACUGGCGCUGUGGGAUGAACCAAACGCCGAGUUAAAGCGCCUAAAUCGACGCUUAUGGGAUACCAUGAAAGGCGUUGGUAACUUAAGACAUCAGGACGGUGGCCAUGGAAGUCGGAAUCCGCCAAGGAGUGUGUAACAACUCACCUGCCGAAGUUACUAGCCCUGAAAAUGGAUGGCGCUGAAGCGUCGUGCUUAUACUCGGCCGUCAGAGGCAUGUGCGGUCUGGUUAUUCGUUAACCGGCCAUGAAGCCCUGACGAGUAGGAGGGUCGCGCGGUGAGCGCAGAAGGACUGGCCGUGAGGCCGUCUGGAGCCGCCGUCGGUGCAGAUCUUGGUGGUAGUAGCAAAUACUCCAGCGAGGCCCUGGAGGACUGACGUGGAGAAGGGUUUCGUGUGAACAGCCGUUGCACACGAGUCAGUCGAUCCUAAGCCCUAGGCGAAAGCCGAUGUUGAUGUGGUGUAGGUUUGUCGUUGGUCGCAAUCCUCAGACGCAGAUAGUGUUUGAUGCGUGACGUAAACGUACGAAUUGUGCACACACCCGUCGGGCGAAAGGGAAUCCGGUUCCUAUUCCGGAACCCGGCAGCGGAACCGUUCAUAAUUCGGGCCCUCGCAAGAGAGUUCGUCGGGGCAACCCAAAAGGACCCGGAGACGCCGUCGGGAGAUCCGGGAAGAGUUUUCUUUUCUGCAUGAGCGUUCGAGUUCCAUGGAAUCCUCUAGCAGGGAGAUAUGGUUUGGAACGCGAAGAGCACCGCAGUUGCGGCGGUGUCCGGAUCUUCCCCUCGGACCUUGAAAAUCCGGGAGAGGGCCACGUGGAGGCGUCGCGCCGGUUCGUACCCAUAUCCGCAGCAGGUCUCCAAGGUGAAGAGCCUCUAGUCGAUAGAAUA
rnacentral:rRNA from 1 species